rnacentral:rRNA from 1 species
UGGGGAAUUUUGGACAAUGGGCGCAAGCCUGAUCCAGCCAUGCCGCGUGAGUGAAGAAGGCCUUCGGGUUGUAAAGCUCUUUCGGACGGGAAGAAAUGGCGGGCUCUAACAUAGCCUGUCGAUGACGGUACCGUAAGAAGAAGCACCGGCUAACUACGUGCCAGCAGCCGCGGUAAUACGUAGGGUGCGAGCGUUAAUCGGAAUUAUUGGGUUUAAAGGGUGCGUAGGCGGACUAAUAAGUCAGUGGUGAAAGCCUGCAGCUUAACUGCAGAAUUGCCAUUGAUACUGUUAGUCUUGAGUACAGUUGAGGUAGGCGGAAUGUGUCAUGUAGCGGUGAAAUGCUUAGAUAUGACACAGAACACCGAUUGCGAAGGCAGCUUGCUAAGCUGUAACUGACGCUGAGGCACGAAAGCGUGGGGAGCAAACA